GCCCCUCGGCGAGUAUGACGGAGCAUACCGCGUGAGGGAUGACGGCCUAUGGGUUGUAAACCUCUUUUUUCAGGGAGGAAUCAAUGACGUGUACCUGAAGAAUAAGCAUCGGCUAACUCCGUGCCAGCAGCCGCGGUAAGACGGAGGAUGCAAGUGUUAUCCGGAAUCACUGGGCGUAAAGCGUCUGUAGGUGGUUUAAUAAGUCAACUGUUAAAUCUUGAGGCUCAACCUCAAAAUCGCAGUCGAAACUAUUAGACUAGAGUAUAGUAGGGGUAAAGGGAAUUUCCAGUGGAGCGGUGAAAUGCGUAGAUAUUGGAAGGAACACCGAUGGCGAAGGCACUUUACUGGGCUAUUACUAACACUCAGAGACGAAAGCUAGGGUAGCAAAUGGGAUUAGAUACCCCCAGUAGUACAA
rnacentral:rRNA from 1 species